ensembl:lncRNA
UGCAGAUGAAUUAAAGACAGACAAAAUGCCACACACUGUGCUGUCCAGAAAGAGCAACUCUUAAAAGCUGGGUGGACUUCGGAGCUUGGCUGGACAGGAGGUCAGAACACGAACUGUGAGUAACAGUGCUUCGGAAGAUGGACUGAAAGAUUCUUGCACUACUAAUGAAUUUCCAGGAAAACUGACUGUAAACUGCUAUCAAGAGACAAAACGCUGCAAACCAAGCGCUUCUGCUGGAUGUGAGUGUGAUCUGAACACGAUCAAACCCACCUUGCAUGAGUAUUUUAAGAAAAGAUAGCCCCAGCGUUGUGCAAAG